rnacentral:rRNA from 1 species
UACGGGGGGGGCAAGCGUUGUUCGGAAUUACUGGGCGUAAAGGGCUCGUAGGUGGCCAACUAAGUCAGACGUGAAAUCCCUCAGCUUAACUGGGGAACUGCGUCUGAUACUGGAUGGCUUGAGUUUGGGAGAGGGAUGCGGAAUUCCAGGUGUAGCGGUGAAAUGCGUAGAUAUCUGGAGGAACACCGGUGGCGAAGGCGGCUCACUGGUCCGGUACUGACGCUGAGGUGCGAAAGCGUGGGGAGCAAACAGG